rnacentral:rRNA from 1 species
GACGAACGCUGGCGGCGUGCUUAACACAUGCAAGUCGAGCGGUAAGGCCCUUUCGGGGGUACACGAGCGGCGAACGGGUGAGUAACACGUGGGUGACCUGCCCUCAGCUCUGGGAUAAGCCUGGGAAACCGGGUCUAAUACUGGAUAUGACUCCAUGACGCAUGUUGUGGGGUGGAAAGCCUUGUGCGGCUGAGGAUGGGCCCGCGGCCUAUCAGCUUGUUGGUGGGGUGANGGCCUACCAAGGCGACGACGGGUAGCCGGCCUGAGAGGGCGACCGGCCACACUGGGACUGAGACACGGUCCAGACUCCUACGGGAGGCAGCAGUGGGGAAUUUUCGCAAUGGGGGCAACCCUGACGAAGCAACGCCGCGUGGGGAUGAAGGUCUUCGGAUUCGUAAACCCCUGUCGACCGGGACGAAUGUAGAACGGCCUAAUACGCCGAGCUAUUGAUUGUACCGGUGGAGG